GCUUAGGGUUCGCGGCGGGCGAAAGAAAGAAGACCGCGGAGGGAAGGAAGACAGGGUUCGAAUUCAUGGAGAACGUAUUCCGAAGUCCCGCCACAGUCGAAACCCUAAACCCCCGGAUGGGAAGCUACUCGCGCCCCAUUCCUCCCCCGCGCCGGAGAUCCCAUCUCGACAGCGCGUCGUACCGCACUCUGGUUCGGAUCUUCUCCCUUUGCCUCGACGAGUCCCUCGUCCCCAUCGAAGAACCUUGCAAGGAUCCGAUCCUCGUGUCGGGUGCCGCUUCUCCUGAAGUCCCGAAGAGCUCGUCGGCUGGUAAAGACGACGUCGUUGAUUCACAUGGUGAUGGAAUCGUGGCAAAGGAGCUUCGGCGUGAUGACAGUGAGAGUGUUGAAUGUGGAAACGCUACGUUUAACUCUGAUUCGAAAACUGAGGGAAUUGAAGAGAAAUUUGGAGAUGGGACUGGCGGGAAUGGAGAGACGGUGAACGGCCUGGUGUGUGAACGGCCGCAAACGGAAUCUGGGGACGAUAAAGCCGAGGCUUCGAAUUCAAUGGAAGAGAUGGGGCAUCAGCGCGAGGAAACUGGCCAAUGUGUUGAUGGUGGACUUCAGGAAGGUCUGAUUGUCGAAUCUAAGUUAGAGACCGAAGUUUGUAUGGACGAAGCCACAGAACCUCCAGGUGAUAAUUUGAUCUUUGAUUUCCCUGAAUUGGUAGAAUUGCAGGACAGUAUAAUUGGCCUAGUUGGGGGAUCACACGGUGAAGUUGCUGAAGGCGUCUCUGGAGAAAAUUUAUCUCAAGUCCCUGGUUCCAAGGAUCAAGUCACUCACUUGGUGGAUGAAUCAGAACAAAGAAUGAAUAAUGAACUGAAAGAUGAAUGCGUUAAAGGAGCAUCGUCAGAGGUCUUGACAGAUGAAUUUAAUGCAUUAAGUGUUUCCCCAACUAGAAUGUCUUCUUCUAAUGAACUGCUACGUGAUAUCAUGUUUGAAAGGAACAGGGAAUGUACUAAUCCAUCGGCUACAUAUUUGUCUCCCAAUGAGCAAAUGUUAUUUAAACCUCAGAAAAACGUGUCCAAGUCAAUAAAUGAAACUGCUGAAAAUCAUCAACAAGAGCUUUUGGGUUUCUCCAUGAAACAGUUGGAAGAGAACCUGGCAGAUGCAUUAGUAGAUCCAAACAAUGUUGAAGAAAUUGAAGAAGGGCAAAUUCCUGGUGACUUUUGGAGUUUAAACGAGACUGAACCAGGGGUGCAUCAUAAUGCACUUCUUCAGGAUCAGAAGUUAGAUGAAGAAUCAUGUCACACUGACUUUCUUCAAAAAGAAGGUCCUGAUUGUUUGGCUAAGCUCUCCGGAAAGAACAUUAUGGCAAGAAAUAAUAAGUCGAAAGAGGAUGUUCUUUUCAUGGAGAUCAAUGAAAAGAUGGAUGGAAAUGAUUAUCUUUCUUCAGAUGAAAGAUAUUCAACUGCUGAAAUGAAAAAGAGUUGUAGUAAUGUGCCUGUGAUGUACUCUGAGCAGCAAACAACUGCAGUGAAUGCUUUUGGAUCAUGUGAAGAGAAGUUGACAUAUCAGAAUAAGGAAUCCAUUGUUGAGACUGUUAACGAGAAAAUCAAGAGGAGGAGAGGUCCUUUAACUGAGGAAAGAAAAGCUAAGAAAAAGAAGGCCAAGAAAAGGAAAAGAGCAGAGAAAGAGAGACAACAAGGAGUCAAGAGAUUGAAGCUGCAACCGGUUGUAAAGCCAAAAGCAGUAAAGCUCUGCAACUUCUAUCUGAUGGGUAGAUGCCAGCAGGGAGAUUUGUGCAAAUUUUCCCAUGAUGCUACUCCCCUAACAAAGUCCCAGCCAUGCAAGUACUUUGCUUGUGAUUCUUGCUUAAAAGGUGAUGAUUGUCCAUUCGAUCAUGAACUCUCCAAGUAUCCCUGUCACAACUUCCAUUCAAAAGGGAGCUGCCAUAGAGGAGACAGAUGCAAGUUUUCACAUAAGAUCUCAACUGUUGAAGGUUCCUCCAUGCCAAUUGCAAGCAAUUUAGUUUCUCCAUUAACAUCAGGAAAGUUCAAUGCGGGGAACCAAAAAAUUGCAAGUAAAAAACUUACAAAUGCCAGUAAUCCACCUAAAACUGCCACUUCAAGUACAAAAUAUGUCUUGCCUAAGCAGUCAGAAGGAAACUUGGUGAAGAUUGCGAAGGAACCCAUGCAAAUACCUAAUGGAAUACGUUUUAUUUCAUUUGGAAAUGAACUGUUAGAGAGUGGGAAGUUGCCUGCAAACAGCUUGCUUCCUGAGAAACAUGGGUGCAGUCAACAGAAACCAGAAAAGCCUUUAGCAGAUGGACAUAAAAAUGCUGUUUUCCUAAGUGAGAAAUCUCUUUCUAAACCACAAAUGGAAUAUAGUGUUUCUCUUCCUGCUACAAAUGCCUUUUCUGGUAACUAUUCGAAAAAUAAAAGUUUCAGUAUUGACCCUGCUUCCAGAAGCCUCCAAAGUGAAGUUUCAGAUGCAUCAAAAAUCUUGGAUGAGUUUUUAUUUGGUGCUACUGGCUAGAGGGUUGUUACAUUUGUUCUUACCAGCUGUAUAUUUCUAUUACAAUGAAUGUAGUGGUCGAGAUUUCAAGUCCCAUGUGUUGGAGGAGAUUGCUAGUUGGCAGGCAUCACACUGCUAUAAACGAAUAGAAGUGACUCAGCUUCAAGCGGUAAUUUUUUCACUAUAAUUGAUUGCCAUCUGACCUCACCAGUUGGAACCCAUACUGCCUCAGCUGAUGACCCUUAGUUUAAUGUUUGAGAGCUAAAUUAUCAGGUUUGUCAGCUGGAUGGAAGAACAUUAACUAUCAUGUACUUUUGUUGCUGAAUUGGGGGCAAUUGCUGAUGAAAAGCAAAGGAAUCUAAUCAGGCAGACCAACUGCAAGGAUCUAAUCUAAAAGAAAAUGCUUUCUGAUAUGUACUGUUGGGAAGUUCACGAAUACAAGGGAUACCAGGUUGCUUUGGAGUCAAAAAUCAUGAGGCUUAUCAUUUUUGUUCAGAUGUAUUGGUCUGAGAACUGGAAUCCAUGGAUCAGAUACCUACUGAAGGAUUUCAUACUGAUCACAACUGUGCCCCUUGGAAGUGCCCAUACUGAAUUCAAAGGUUUAUUCAGAUCCAGAACUAGAGUACAGACAACUAGUAAACAGAUGGAAUAUUGAGAUAUACUGCAAGCUUUUAAUAUAGGAACAGAAAAGUGAUAGUGUUUCAUCAUCAUACUGGCAAGGUCAUCUGGGGGAGUGAAGAAUUAGCUUUAUGUCCCAGCUGCAUCCUAAAUGGAAAGCUCAGAUUCAAGAUGUAAACAACAAAUUAGCUGGUUAUGUUAGGGCAACACACUAAAAAAAAAUAGGAAAAGGGAACCAGAAAAUGAAUAUUUGCACAUCUGGAGCUGAAUCAGGUUGAUUAACAAUGACUCAACUCUUCAGGAUUUCAAGACUUGGAAGACUGCAAUUCUGGAUCUAGCAAUUCUGGAUCUAGGGUGGGGAGAUAAGUGUCUCCACCUCUCCCCUUCAUGGAUCUAGCAAUUCUGACUCCCACUGAGGAUCUACAUGACACCAACUUCUCCAUUUCCCCCGAGUUCCUGAAUUGUUCAUUGGAUAUCAGAGUUUGCAGCUUCCUGCGGCCCCACAAAUUUCCCGAGGACGCAUUUGCUGCAUCACGACAAGAACGACAUGUCUGCUGG